CACAAGUGAACAGAGUGAAAGCCCACUGGGUGGAGUGGAGCCUCUGGGUUAUAUACCAUCUCAGGAUAGGUCAGGAAAGGAUAGGUCAGGAUAGGUCAGGAUAGGUCAGAACAGGUCAGGAUAGGAUAGGUCAGGAUAGGUCAGGUCAGGAUAGGUCAGGAUAGGUCAGGUCAUGAUAGGUCAGGAUAGGUCAGGACAGGUCAGGAUAAGAUAGGUCAGGAUAGGUCAGGUCAGGAUAGGUCAGGAUAGGUCAGGUCAUGAUAGGUCAGGAUAGGUCAGGACAGGUCAGGAUAAGAUAGGUCAGGAUAGGUCAGGUCAGGAUAGGUCAGGAUAGGUCAGGAAAGGUCAGGUCAGGAUAGGAUAGGUCAGGAUAGGUCUGGACAGGUCAGCAUAGGUCAGGACUGGUCAGGACAGGUCAGGACAGGAUAAGUGCCACCUCAGAGAUGACGUGAUUCCAAACACCAAGCCCACACGUCCUGUACCAG
ensembl:lncRNA